rnacentral:tRNA from 1 species
GAAGGUAUAGCUCAAUGGCAGACUGCAUGCCUGGCAUGCAUGAAUGAGGUCCUGGAUUCAAUCCCCAGUACCUCCA